GAGUUUGAUCCUGGCUCAGGAUGAACGCUGGCGGCGUGCCUAAUACAUGCAAGUCGAGCGCCCCUUCUUUGGUAAUUAUCGGUAGAUAGUUGUCAGUGAUGGGGAGCGGCGGACGGGUGAGUAACGCGUGGGAAUCUACCCCAGACUGAGGGAUAAGCCCGAGAAAUCGGGUCUAAUACCGCAUAACCUCUUCGGAGAAAAGCUUCGGCGGUUUGGGAAGAGCCUGCGUCCGAUUAGCUAGUUGGUAAGGUAAAGGCUUACCAAGGCGACAAUCGGUAGCUGGUCUGAGAGGAUGAUCAGCCACACUGGAACUGAGACACGGUCCAGACUCCUACGGGAGGCAGCAGUAGGGAAUUUUCCACAAUGGGGGCAACCCUGAUGGAGCGACGCCGCGUGCAGGACGAAGGCCCUCGGGUUGUAAACUGCUUUUAUGAGUGAAGAUUAUGACGGUAACUCAUGAAUAAGGAUCGGCUAACUCCGUGCCAGCAGCCGCGGUCAUACGGAGGAUCCAAGCGUUAUCCGGAAUUACUGGGCGUAAAGAGUUGCGUAGGCGUCCCGCCAAGUUUCUGCUUAAAGACUGGGGCUCAACCUCAGGAACAGUAGAAAAACUGGCGAGAUAGAGCAUGAGAGGGGUGGCUGGAAUUCCUGGUGUAGGAGUGAAAUCCGUAGAUAUCAGGAGGAACACCAAUGGCGUAGGCAGGCCACUGGCUCAUUGCUGACGCUCAGGCACGAAAGCGUGGGGAGCGAACCGGAUUAGAUACCCUGGUA
rnacentral:rRNA from 1 species